rnacentral:lncRNA from 1 species
GUUGUCUGGUCGAGGAAGAAAGUCGCUGUCUUUACUGGCGAAACAAACUGCUGCGGCAGCCAUGCUUGUGAGCUUAUGAUGUGCCUCUAGUUUAGUUUGUCGGUUUCUGUGAACCGUUCUCUGUGAUGUAUGAUGUAUUGCUGCUGUUAGCUGUAAAUGUGUUGUAUGAUGAGUUGACUUGAUGGUUCGUUUGAGGCUGUCUUGUGAAGGUUACUGUUAGUUAACAUGAGUUAAACAAAUACAUACACUUGCUGCUGUUAGCUGUAAACAUGAGUUGACUUGAUGGUUCGUUUGAGGCUGUCUUGUGAAGGUUACUGUUAGUUAACAUGAGUUAAACAAAUACAUACACUUGCUGCUGUUAGCUGUAAACAUGAGUUGACUUGAUGGUUCGUUUGAGGCUGUCUUGUGAAGGUUACUGCUAGUUAACAUGAGUUAAACUAUUACAUGCACUGGGACCCAUUUGACUAGUGGACCCAUUUAAUAAAAAAGAAAAAUGAAAUUGUUUAGACAAAAAGGCCAUGGCCCAACAAUAAAAAAGGCUGCAACGUUGGGCUUGGCCCAUGAAGUCGACCGAAAAUUGACAGAAA